rnacentral:rRNA from 1 species
GAUGAACGCUGGCGGCGUGCUUAACACAUGCAAGUCGAACGAUGGUCCGGUGCUUGCGCCGGGGAUUAGUGGCGAACGGGUGAGUAACACGUGAGUAACCUGCCCUUGACUCUGGGAUAAGCCUGGGAAACUGGGUCUAAUACCGGAUAUGACUCCUCAUCGCAUGGUGGGGGGUGGAAAGCUUUUUGUGGUUUUGGAUGGACUCGCGGCCUAUCAGCUUGUUGGUGGGGUAAUGGCCUACCAAGGCGACGACGGGUAGCCGGCCUGAGAGGGUGACCGGCCACACUGGGACUGAGACACGGCCCAGACUCCUACGGGAGGCAGCAGUGGGGAAUAUUGCACAAUGGGCGAAAGCCUGAUGCAGCGACGCCGCGCGAGGGAUGACGGCCUUCGGGUUGUAAACCUCUUUCAGUAGGGAAGAAGCCCUCUUUGGGGGUGACGGUACUUGCAGAAGAAGCGCCGGCUAACUACGUG